rnacentral:rRNA from 1 species
GAUGAACGCUGGCGGCGUGCCUAAUACAUGCAAGUCGAGCGAACAGACGAGGAGCUUGCUCCUCUGACGUUAGCGGCGGACGGGUGAGUAACACGUGGAUAACCUACCUAUAAGACUGGGAUAACUUCGGGAAACCGGAGCUAAUACCGGAUAAUAUAUUGAACCGCAUGGUUCAAUAGUGAAAGACGGUUUUGCUGUCACUUAUAGAUGGAUCCGCGCCGCAUUAGCUAGUUGGUAAGGUAACAGCUUACCAAGGCAACGAUGCGUAGCCGACCUGAGAGGGUGAUCGGCCACACUGGAACUGAGACACGGUCCAGACUCCUACGGGAGGCAGCAGUAGGGAAUCUGCCGCAAAGGGCGAAAGCCUGACGGAGCAACGCCGCGUGAGUGAUGAAGGUCUUCGGAUCGUAAAACUCUGUUAUUAGGGAAGAACAAAUGUGUAAGUAACUAUGCACGUCUUGACGGUACCUAAUCAGAAAGCCACGGCUAACUACGUG